GGCUUGAGUGAAGACGUGGCCCCAGCUGGUCAGGGUCUGGGAAAGAAAACUGGACAGCCCCUCCCACCCCGCUCCUAAAGCACUGCAGGAUGGCCAGCGUCUGCCGGCGCGCGCCCGGCACGGCCCAGGCUUCCCCGUACUUCCUGCUACUUUAUCUCUCCAUGCAGGCCUUCCUCCCGGCUCUCGGGACCCUGCUCGGCAACGCUCUCCUCUGGCUUCCUCCUGGGGGGUGUGGGGGGGGGGCUUUAGCCUCCCUGCCACGCUCCCUGUUCCGAGCCUGAGCCCGUCCGCCUCUGACACCCUUCUCACCACUCGGACCCGCGAGCGUGGACACAAAGCGAGGAAGGAAGCCAUGUGUGCUGGAAGCCGUGGGGUCCCCGGGUACGGAAGGCCCCAUAAGAAGCCGAGUCGGCAGGAAAACAAGGCGUCCUUGGGACACAUGGAUUGAAGAGACGGUGCCAGCAGAGGAAACAGGAAGCCGUCAGCACACAGGACAGCCCAGGCUCAAACCCGAGGGGAAGAGGGAUCUGCUCCCUGCGACUCGACGUGCAUUCUCUGAACUCCAGCCAGAGUGAUGGCGCCCAGCGGAGCUGCACUCAGGUGUAACUGUCACGCGCGUACUUAACCUGCCAGGCUCUGACCCGGCAUACACACCUGGGAAAUCACCGCCACAGGAAGCUGGAGAACAAAUGCACCACCCCCCAGAGACGCCGCGCCCCCCAGCCCUUCUCAGUCCCUCCCCCUCCCUCCUCCCGCCCCGCCUCAGGCAGGCACCCACGAUCUGCUUUCUGUCAUCACAGAUUAGUGCGUGUUUUCUAACAUUUAUACAAAUGGAAUCUGAAGCAUGGACUCGUGUCGAUCUGGUUUCUUUCACUCAGUAUAAUUAUUUUGAGACGCCUCCGUGUCCUUGCGUGCAGCGAGAGUUUAUUCUUUUUUUAUUGCCAUGGGCGCUCCACUGCUUACCCAUGCACCUGUCAACACAUGAGUUGUUUCUAGCUUUGGCUACUACAAAUAAAGCCACUAUCAACAAUUA